UGGGCCUGAAGCUACCAGAGCCAGCCAUGCCUGUAUGGAGAGGCCUGCCUGGACAUGAGCCAUCACAGAGAAGAGCAGAGGCUGAUCCAGUUGAGUAGGCUGGAGUGGGCUUGGAAUCAGCAUUAUGAGUGAACAUCCGAUGAUGCACCGUGUUCCCGAGGACAGAAACCUGGCCCAGAGCCGCUCCCGCAGGAACAGAACAAGCUCCCCUGGAGACUGUAAUUACCUUCAGAAAACAAGGACCUGAAAAAACAAGAGUCCAGGGAAGGAACUGCAACCACGCGGCUCUCACGUCCAUCCGGCCACACACAGUGGGGACUCUCGGCCUGAGGUGACCCUCCUUCCCUGACAGCUGCCCUCAGCCCUCAAUGCCUCAGUUACUGCCUGUCUGCGUUCAAUCGUGCGGUGACCCCGUGUGCCGAGGGGGGCUGCCUCUCCAAGCCCCGGGGACCCCAAGAGACACAGGAAAAUGAAACACCUAACACUAGUCUUCUAGACACCAGGAGAAUGCGUCACGGCACGGGGACCCCACUAAAACUAACGUCUGUGGGUCAGCUGAAGCUGAUUUUCCAGAGUCUGGCCCUUGUGGUAAAGCAGGAGUGUUACAGUGCUCCUAGAUCCAGACAUCUGAAAGCGAAGGGCCGUGAUGUCUGCCUGUACGAGACUGUAUGACAGUCAUCUCGGAAGCGAUGUGGGCCAAGCCUCCAGCUAACUCUAAGAAACCUGGUUUUGCACCUUUCACCCCACAGACACUUGAAGGAGCUGCUGCUUCUCGACUCCUGUUCUGAACUGAAACGUUGGUUGCACAAGAUGAAUUGACCCCCAAGUUGCCAUCAAAUGCUCACACGGACCUCUGUACGCAUCAUGGCUGGACACAUCCGCCCUGAUUCUAACUCUGUCUUCCUCCCAAAUGUAAUUUUGCAUAAAGCAACACAGUUUAGGAAAACAGACAGGUUUAUCUGAGCUAACGGUGUGUGAGGCACCACGUUGAUUUGUGUCUCGCGAGAGAACGCAGGGCCGGAG